UUUGCACACUAUAUUAGGUAAUGCCUGCCCAGUGACCAUAAGUUCAACGGCCGCGGUAUUUUGACCGCGCGAAGGUAGCGUAAUCACUUGUCUUCUAAAUAAAGACUAGUAUGAACGGCCGCACGAGGACUUAACUGUCUCCCCUGUCUAAUCAGUGAAACUGAUCUCCUCGUGCAGAAGCGAGGAUGAACACAUAAGACGAGAAGACCCUAUGGAGCUUAAAACUUAAUAUUAACUACCCUCUUCUACCCCCUCUAAGGAGCUAACAGGAUUUCCAAGCUCGAUAUAAGUUUUAGGUUGGGGUGACCAUGGAGAAAAAAACAACCUCCCUGAUGAUUUUUAACCAAGAGCCACAGCUCUAAGUAUUAAGACUCUUAACUCCCAUUGACCCAUUUUUUGAUCAACGAACUA
rnacentral:rRNA from 1 species